UCUCCUGGAAAACGGGUGGUAAUGCCGGAUGCUCCAGUUGGAUGCAUGUCCUUCUGGGAAAGAUUCAUCGGUAUGGGAUGGGGUCGCGUCCUAUCAGCUUGAUGGCGGGGUAACGGCCCACCAUGGCUUCGACGGGUAGCCGGCCUGAGAGGGCGACCGGCCACAUUGGGACUGAGAUACGGCCCAGACUCCUACGGGAGGCAGCAGUGGGGAAUAUUGCACAAUGGGCGCAAGCCUGAUGCAGCGACGCCGCGUGCGGGAUGACGGCCUUCGGGUUGUAAACCGCUUUUGACUGGGAGCAAGCCCUUCGGGGUGAGUGUACCUUUCGAAUAAGCACCGGCUAACUACGUGCCAGCAGCCGCGGUAAUACGUAGGGUGCAAGCGUUAUCCGGAAUUAUUGGGCGUAAAGGGCUCGUAGGCGGUUCGUCGCGUCCGGUGUGAAAGUCCAUCGCUUAACGGUGGAUCCGCGCCGGGUACGGGCGGGCUUGAGUGCGGUAGGGGAGACUGGAAUUCCCGGUGUAACGGUGGAAUGUGUAGAUAUCG
rnacentral:rRNA from 1 species